CUAGAUCACUAACCUUCGUCAAAACGACGACGAGGAUUUAAAAAAAGUGGUAUAAUUUUUGAGUGCGUCGUCGCACGCAUUUCAAAUUCCAGCUAAUCUCAGUCGAACCAACGCUCGCGCGGCACACGGGUGUAUUUUUUGUGUAGUGGCCCUGUGCUCGCCGUUCCAGCCACCAUGAGUCGUCGAAUCGACGAAGAUACGAUUCGUCACCUGUUAUGUGAUAAUAAAAGUGUCGAAGAAACUUCUACUUGUACACAUGAGCCUGAUCAAAGAGAAGAUGCCGAUAACCUUCCUAUCGCUAAAAAAAGAAAAAAAUUGUGCAAUUUGUACCCUCCGCAAGACGAAGAAUGACAAAGAGUUGUUGCACUAAGUGCAACAAAAUCCUUGUGUGGCGAACACCAACUUGACAUUUGUCACAAAUGUAUUAAUUGAUAGUUUUUUUAUAAAAUGUUGUUUUCUUUUGUUGAUUUUAUUUCUUAAUUCUAAUAUUUUAAUGUUUUUUUGAGUCUUUGUUUUGUUAGUUAUAAAGAUUUUUAGCAUUUAAAAAACAAAAAUGUUGAUAUGAGUAACAUUUUCGGGUCUCAAUUAAAAGACUGUCAAAGUAAUUAAAAUGUGAUUUUAGUGAAUAAAAACCUGAUAACUAUGUUAACAAAUCAUUAUUGUAAUAAAUAAAUAAAACACAAAAA